rnacentral:rRNA from 1 species
GACGAACCGUGCGAACGUUAUUCGGAAUCACUGGGCUUAAAGCGCGUGUAGGCGGGGCGGCACGUCCGUCGCUGAAAUCCCCCGGCUCAACCGGGGAACGGGCGCGGAUACGACCGUCCUCGAGGGACGUAGGGGGACCUGGAACUUCCGGUGGAGCGGUGAAAUGCGUUGAGAUCGGAAGGAACGCCCGUGGCGAAAGCGAGGUCCUGGACGUUAUCUGACGCUGAGACGCGAAAGCCAGGGGAGCGAACGGG